rnacentral:misc_RNA from 1 species
GUUGUCAUAAAACCAAUGAAAUUAAAAGCAACAAAACAAGAACAAAGAAAAGGACUGGAUAACACCAAAGAAAAAGAGAAGAACAAAUAAGACUUUCACCGAAGAGAAAGAAACACAGAAAGAGAACAAGAACACCCUCCCCCUCCAGAUAGCAUUUCCAUUGUCACAGCUAAUCAGUCUUCUUUCUCUCUCUCUCCCCCCUCUACUCUUCAUAUCUCUUAUCAUUUUUUUCCCCUUUGUUUCACCUAUUUCUUUUCUUAUUCCCUUAUUUUAUCCAACUGAAUUCUAGAAAACCUAUAAUUCAUGUCCCUUGCUACUAAGGAGAUAGGCACUGAUACAUUUUAAUAAUUUUUCCUGCAUCUAUUUUCUUUAGCCCUUUGCUUCAUAGAAUAUGGAUUCCAGCAAUGCUAGCAUUAGUUGCAGAUUAGUUGUUUUUUAUUGUAGUCUUAUGAAUGUAUGAUGUUAUUUGAAAUUUCUAGCAAAUUUCUUUUCUUUUGCAUCUCAUCUCUCAAAG